AACGCACGAGACCUGCGGACCUGCGGAAGGAUCAUUACCGAGUUUACAACUCCCAAACCCAAUGUGAACCAUACCAAACUGUUGCCUCGGCGGGGUCACGCCCCGGGUGCGUCGCAGCCCCGGAACCAGGCGCCCGCCGGAGGGACCAACCAAACUCUUUCUGUAGUCCCCUCGCGGACGUUAUUUCUUACAGCUCUGAGCAAAAAUUCAAAAUGAAUCAAAACUUUCAACAAUGGAUCU
rnacentral:misc_RNA from 1 species